CUAGUAUAAGCAAUCUAUACGGUGAAACUGCGAAUGGCUCAUUAAAUCAGUUAUCGUUUAUUUGAUAGUACCUUACUACUUGGAUAACCGUGGUAAUUCUAGAGCUAAUACAUGCUAAAAACCCCGACUUCGGAAGGGGUGUAUUUAUUAGAUAAAAAACCAAUGCCCUUCGGGGCUCCUUGGUGAUUCAUAAUAACUUAACGAAUCGCAUGGCCUUGUGCCGGCGAUGGUUCAUUCAAAUUUCUGCCCUAUCAACUUUCGAUGGUAGGAUAGUGGCCUACCAUGGUUUCAACGGGUAACGGGGAAUUAGGGUUCUAUUCCGGAGAGGGAGCCUGAGAAACGGCUACCACAUCCAAGGAAGGCAGCAGGCGCGCAAAUUACCCAAUCCCGACACGGGGAGGUAGUGACAAUAAAUACUGAUACAGGGCUCUUUUGGGUCUUGUAAUUGGAAUGAGUACAAUUUAAAUCCCUUAACGAGGAACAAUUGGAGGGCAAGUCUGGUGCCAGCAGCCGCGGUAAUUCCAGCUCCAAUAGCGUAUAUUAAAGUUGUUGCAGUUAAAAAGCUCGUAGUUGAACCUUGGGCCUGGCUGGCCGGUCCGCCUCACCGCGUGCACUGGUCCGGCCGGGUCUUUCCUUCUGGGGAGCCGCAUGCCCUUCACUGGGUGUGUCGGGGAACCAGGACUUUUACUUUGAAAAAAUUAGAGUGUUCAAAGCAGGCCUAUGCUCGAAUACAUUAGCAUGGAAUAAUAGAAUAGGACGUGUGGUUCUAUUUUGUUGGUUUCUAGGACCGCCGUAAUGAUUAAUAGGGAUAGUCGGGGGCAUCAGUAUUCAAUUGUCAGAGGUGAAAUUCUUGGAUUUAUUGAAGACUAACUACUGCGAAAGCAUUUGCCAAGGAUGUUUUCAUUAAUCAGUGAACGAAAGUUAGGGGAUCGAGACGAUCAGAUACCGUCGUAGUCUUAACCAUAAACUAUGCCGACUA
rnacentral:rRNA from 1 species